CUUAAUACUCGAACAUGCGACUUUAACUCGAACAGAAUUUAUGCGUGUGUGUGUCACAUAAUUAUACUCUUCUGUUCAUUGUUAAAGUCUGUAGUCUAAUUGAGAAUUGAU